AUUGAACGCUGGCGGCAGGCAUAACACAUGCAAGUCGAACGAGUGGCGGACGGGUGAGUAAUGUCUGGGAAACUGCCUGAUGGAGGGGGAUAACUACUGGAAACGGUAGCUAAUACCGCAUACCAUCAGAUGUGCCCAGAUGGGAUUAGCUUGUUGGUGGGGUAACGGCUCACCAAGGCGACGAUCCCUAGCUGGUCUGCGAGGAUGACCGGCCACACUGGAACUGAGGCACGUGCCAGACUCCUACGGGAGGCAGCAGUGGGGAAUGUGGGACAAUGGGCGCAAGCCUGAUGCAGCCAUGCCGGGUAUAUGAAGAAGGCCAUGGGGUAGUGAAGUACUUUAGGCGGGGAGGCGUUACCCGCAAAAGAAGCACCGGCUAACUCCGUGCCAGCAGCCGCGGUAAUAC
rnacentral:rRNA from 1 species